GGACCAAUAAACUGAAAACAGUCAAUAAAGAAGAAACUAUAGAAAUUCAACUUUAAAAAAUGGAUAAAAAAGAAGCAAAACGUAUUUACUCAAUCAACAACACUCAAAAGAAAUUCAAAGAUACAAAAGCCAACGUAAAGGAGGCUGCCAAAAACAACGAUAUCAGACUUUAUAAUGUAUGAGUGAAGAAGAAUUUUUUAGAACUGCAAAAGAAAUGUUGAAGAAUGCUAACAUGCGAAAAUCGUCAAACGACGUAAAAGAAGUGAUGAAGAACAAUUAGAAGAAGGAACAACGAAGGCAAUCUUAUGGCUUUGACGAAACUAAAGCAAUGGAUGCGACACGGCCCCCUAAAAAGAACGCUCAUACAGCAAAAAUUUCGAGUUCUUCAAAUUUGUCAGUUGAUGGAAUUCUGCAUUUGUUUGCACUAUCAGGCUACGAUCAUGGCCAUUCGCUGGAGGAAGGCAUUUCUAUGACGUCCGCAACUAACGAGAACCCAAAUAAUUUAGAAGAUUCCGGUAAAGUCUUAACGACUAAAUUUGAACAGAAACUGCAGCAGCAAGUACAAUGGCAAGGAUAAAAGGGCGAGACCACGUUAAAGUUUAUGUUGAGAGAGAAUUAUUCGGUCACUGGAAAGGA